CAUUGUAAAUACCAUUUUGAAAGAUUUAAGGACUCUGAUCAACUUGGUAAUCAACCAUAAUUCCAGAGGACUUAAUAUAAUUAAGUCUCAAGGAGUUGACAUUCUAAUGGAGGAGACAACAUGGAAACAGCUCUGUACAAAUAGGAUAUCUACAGGGUAAAGUGGAAGCAAUUUCAGAGAGAAGUCACUAGCAUUGAGGGGGACCAGGAAAAGCCUCUUACAGAAGGUAGGACUUGAGCUGAGGUCCAAAGAAAGCUGAGGAAGCCAGCAGGCAGAAACAGGAAGGGAGAGCAUUACCAGCAUGGGGAACAACCAGAAAAAAGGCACUGAAUUGGGAGAUAGAGUGUCUUGUGGGAGGAAGAGCAAGAAAGCUACUGUCACUGUAUCUUGGAGUACAUAGAAGGGAGUAAAGUAGAAGAAGCUUGGAAAGGAAUUUAUCUUGAAUGUCAAGGAGAGCUAUGGGGAAGCCAGGUGGUGCAGUGGAUAGAACACCGGAGGAC